GGUUACUGUUCCCACCAGGUUACUGUUCCCACUAUGGUACUGUUCCCACCAGGUUACUGUUCCCACCAGGUUACUGUUCCCACCAGGUUACUGUUCCCACCAGGUUACUGUUCCCACCAUGUUACUGUUCCCACUAUGUUACUGUUCCCACUAGGUUACUGUUCCCACCAGGUUACUGUUCCCACCAGGUUACUGUUCCCACCAGGUUACUGUUCCCACCAGGUUACUGUUCCCACCAUGUUACUGUUCCCACCAGGUUACUGUUCCCACUAUGUUACUGUUCCCACCAGGUUACUGUUCCCACCAGGUUACUGUUCCCACUAUGGUACUGUUCCCACUAGGUUACUGUUCCCACUAUGUUACUGUUCCCACCAGGUUACUGUUCCCACUAUGUUACUGUUCCCACCAGGUUACUGUUCCCACUAUGUUACUGUUCCCACUAUGUUACUGUUCCCACCAGGUUACUGUUCCCACCAGGUUACUGUUCCCACCAGGUUACUGUUCCCACCAGGUUACUGUUCCCACUAUGUUACUGUUCCCACCAGGUUACUGUUCCCACUAUGUUAAUGUUCCCACCAGGUUACUGUUCCCACUAUGUUACUGUUCCCACUAUGUUACUGUUCCCACCAGGUUACUGUUCCCACUAUGGUACUGUUCCCACCAGGUUACUGUUCCCACUAUGUUACUGUUCCCACUAUGUUACUGUUCCCACCAGGUUACUGUUCCCACCAGGUUACUGUUCCCACCAGGUUACUGUUCCCACUAUGGUACUGUUCCCACUAGGUUACUGUUCCCACUAUGUUACUGUUCCCACUAUGUUACUGUUCCCACCAGGUUACUG
ensembl:lncRNA